rnacentral:rRNA from 1 species
AAUGAACGCUGGCGGCGCGCCUAAUACAUGCAAGUCGAGCGAGAAGACGUAGCAAUACGUUUGUAAAGCGGCGAACGGGUGAGGAAUACAUGGGUAACCUACCCUCGAGUGGGGAAUAACUAGCCGAAAGGUUAGCUAAUACCGCGUACGCUCCUUGGACUUCGGUUCAGGGAGGAAAGCGAUACCGUGGGUAUCGCGCUCUUGGUUGGGCUCAUGUCCUAUCAGCUUGUUGGUGAGGUAACGGCUCACCAAGGCUUCGACGGGUAGCUGGUCUGAGAGGACGACCAGCCACACGGGAACUGAGACACGGUCCCGACUCCUACGGGAGGCAGCAGGUGGGGAAUUUUCCGCAAGUGGGCGAAAGCCUGACGGAGUGACGCCGCGUGGGGACG